rnacentral:rRNA from 1 species
GCCCCUAUACCCAGCUCCGACGAUCGAUUUGCACGUCAGAAUCGCUGCGGACCUCCACCAGAGUUUCCUCUGGCUUCAUCCUGGCCAGGCAUAGUUCACCAUCUUUCGGGUCCCAACAUGUCUGCUCAAGGUACUCGCCGGCUACUACCACGAGAGAAGGAGAACCCCCCCUCGCAGAGCGCACUAUGGCGAGUCCCGGGCCUGCGCCCCCCCGCCGCUAGGCGGGCCAACCGAUAAAAAUCGGGACCAUCGCCCAACCAGCACUGCCCAGCGGGGGGAGAAACGAAGGGAAAAUAGCUCACCUCCGCCCUCCCCCAUGAAUCACCGUGCAGAUACCAGCAGGCAGCCGGCCAGGGAUCGGCCCCAGAAGAGAGAGGACGAGAGCCGAAACCCCCGCCCCUACUCUCUCCCUGUCACUUUCAUUACGCCUUUGGGUUUAGACAGCCCAAUGACU